UGUUUCCCCAGCCUUCUUUCAUCUCUGAAAUGCAUAUGUUUUAGCACCAUUUGUAUUUCAGAGAUGGAGGGCCGAAGAAACGCAU
ensembl:miRNA aca-mir-9574 aca-mir-9574